AUAAAGGUUACGAUAAAGUAAAGUAAGUCUACUAAACUUACAGAGAGGGACUCCUACAAGCUGAGAAGAGUCUUAAGACGAUUAGUAUUCUGAAGUGCACUUUUGAACUUCUACCUGAAAAUUAGAGUAGGGUAAGACGGUGGUACCGUUACAACUUUAAGGUGGAGCUUUUUGCUUAACUAGAGUGGAACCGCGGAAUAAUCGUCUCUUGA
rnacentral:ncRNA from 1 species